ensembl:lncRNA
GUUAAGAUGUUAUGAAGUGUGUUAUGAGGUUAUGAGGUGUGUUAUGAGGUUAUGAGGUGUGUUAUGAUGUUAUGAGGUGUGUUAUGAGGUUAUGAGGUGUGUUAUGAGGUUAUGAGUUGUGUUAUGAUGUUAUGAUGUUAUGAGGUUAUGGGGUUAUGGGGUGUGUUAUGAUGUUAUGAGGUUAUGAGGUGUGUUAUGAUGUUAUGAGGUGUGUUAUGAUGUUAUGAGGUUAUGAGGUUAAGGGGUGUGUUAUGAUGUUAUGAGGUUAUGAGGUGUGUUAUGAAGUUGUGAGGUUAUGAGGUGUGUUAUGAGGUUAUGGGGUGUGUUAUGAGGUGUUUUAUGAGGUGAUGAUGUUAUGAUGUUAUGAGGUGUGUUAUGAUGUGUGUUAUGAGGAGAUUAUGUUAUGAUGUGUGUUGUGAGGUUAUG